rnacentral:misc_RNA from 1 species
AAUCCAAGAAUGAAUUUCAGAACUCCAAGACUGAGUGGGAGCAAAAAGAACAAAAUCUAAUGAACCGUGUAAAGAAAUCAGAAGAAGAACACUCUUCUUUGGAAAGAGAAAUUGAUAGGCUGGUAAAUUUGCUCAAGCAAACUGAGGAAGAAGCUUGUGCAACAAGGGAGGAAGAGGCUCAGUUGAAGGAUAGCCUAAAUGAAGUUGAAGCUGAGGUGAUUUCAUUGCAAGAAGCACUUGGGGAAUCAAAGGUUGAGAACAUGAAACUUAAGGAAAGUCUAUUAGACAAAGAAAAUGAGUUGCGGAGCCUUUUCCAAGAAAAUAAGGAGCUCCGAACUAGGGAAGCCAUUUCUCUGACGAAGGUGGAGGAGUUGUCUAAAUUGCUUGAAGAAGCUAUGACCAAGAAGAAAACUGAGGAGAAUGGAGAGCUCACGGACAGUGAAAAGGACUACGAUUUGCUUCCAAAGGUGGUUGAAUUCUCUGAAGAAAAUGGGCAUGUAAGAGCAGAGAAGCCCAAAAUGGAGCUUCCACCACAACAGCAUGAAGAUUUGGGAAAAGAAAACUCUCAGGAACAUAGUAAUGGCUUUAACAACCAGACUGUGCCAA